rnacentral:lncRNA from 1 species
CUUUCCUCCUUUUCCUUCCUACUUUUCACGCUUUAUUCCUUCCCCUUCCACUUCUAAACAAUUCCAUCCUAAAACUACCAGAUUAGACAAAGAAAAGCAAGCCUCUGCACAGGGGUUUGGAGCAAGGUGUUGACCAAAAUUUGGAUGUCAGAACUCAAGCAGGGAGAAGAGAUGGUGUCUCUCGCCCUGUCUCCAGGCUAGAGUGCAGUGGUGCGAUCUCGGCUCACUACAACUCCUACCUCCUGAGUUCAAGCGAUUCUCCUGCCUCAGCCUCCCGAGUAGCCAGGACUACAGUGUCGAGGUCAUGAAAGCCACUGAAAGACUGAGAACUGUUCCAGAAAGGAGACUAGAGAGACAUGGCAGCCAAAUGCUCCACAUAAUCCUGUCCUGGAUUCUUCUCCUACAAAGGAAGGGGUCUGAGGAUUAGGUGGUAGUACUGAAUCAAGGAACUAUCAUCUCCUAUUGUGCUGUAGGCAAACUUGAGUGACAUGGUGGAAGCCACCAGAGAGAAUAUCUGAAGCAAUUCAUUAAAAUCUUGGCAGCCAGACCCCAGCUCCCACUUUCCCUGAAAGCUCCCUUUAAUGAAGCUGAACGCUGUCCCAGCAAUUCCCUCCACAGAAGACCUACUGUCACCACCUCUGGAGGGGCAAUUCCUGGAGGAACCAAGUCAGCCAAUCGAAGGUCCUGAAUAAGCAAAAACUAAGUAAAUAAAUUACCAUCUCGAA